rnacentral:rRNA from 1 species
ACGAACGCUGGCGGCGUGCUUCACCCAAGCAAGUCGCACGGAAAGGCCCUGCUUUUGUGGGGUGCUCGAGUGGCGAACGGGUGAGUAACACGUGAGUAACCUGCCCUUGACUUUGGGAUAACUUCAGGAAACUGGGGCUAAUACCGGAUAGGAGCUCCUGCUGCAUGGUGGGGGUUGGAAAGUUUCGGCGGUUGGGGAUGGACUCGCGGCUUAUCAGCUUGUUGGUGGGGUAGUGGCUUACCAAGGCUUUGACGGGUAGCCGGCCUGAGAGGGUGACCGGCCACAUUGGGACUGAGAUACGGCCCAGACUCCUACGGGAGGCAGCAGUGGGGAAUAUUGCACAAUGGGCGGAAGCCUGAUGCAGCAACGCCGCGUGCGGGAUGACGGCCUUCGGGUUGUAAACCGCUUUCGCCUGUGACGAAGCGUGAGUGACGGUAAUGGGUAAAGAAGCACCGGCUAACUACGUG